rnacentral:rRNA from 1 species
UACGUAGGGGGCAAGCGUUGUCCGGAAUCAUUGGGCGUAAAGCGCGCGUAGGUGGCCCGGUAAGUCCGCUCUGAAAGUCAAAGGCUCAACCUUUGAAAGCGGGUGGAUACUGUCGGGCUAGAGUCCGGAAGAGGCGAGUGGAAUUCCUGGUGUAGCGGUGGAGUGCGCAGAUAUCAGGAGGAACACCAACGGCGAAGGCAGCUCGCUGGGACGGUACUGACGCUAAGGCGCGAAAGCGUGGGGAGCGAACAGG